AAUAGCGUAUAUUUAAGUUGUUGCAGUUAAAAAGCUCGUAGUUGGAUUUCGGAUGGGAUUUGCCGGUCCGUCGUUACGAUGUGCACUGGCCAGUCCUAUCUUGUUGUCGGGGACUAGCUCCUUGGAUUCACUUCCUGGGACUAGGAGCUGACGAGGUUACUUUGAGUAAAUUAGAGUGUUCAAAGCAAGCCUACGCUCUGAAUACAUUAGCAUGGAAUAACACGAUAGGACUCUGGCUUAUCUUGUUGGUCUGUGAGACCAGAGUAAUGAUUAAGAGGGACAGUCGGGGACAUUCGUAUUUCAUUGUCAGAGGUGAAAUUCUUGGAUUUAUGAAAGACGAACUUCUGCGAAAGCAUUUGUCAAGGAUGUUUUCAUUAA
rnacentral:rRNA from 1 species